CCUACGGGGGGCAGCAGUGAGGAAUAUUGGUCAAUGGACGAGAGUCUGAACCAGCCAAGUAGCGUGAAGGAUGACUGCCCUAUGGGUUGUAAACUUCUUUUAUAUGGGAAUAAAAUGUUCCACGUGUGGGAUUUUGUAUGUACCAUAUGAAUAAGGAUCGGCUAACUCCGUGCCAGCAGCCGCGGUAAGACGGAGGAUCCGAGCGUUAUCCGGAUUUAUUGGGUUUAAAGGGAGCGUAGGUGGAUUGUUAAGUCAGUUGUGAAAGUUUGCGGCGCAACCGUAAAAUUGCAGUUGAAACUGGCAGUCUUGAGUACAGUAGAGGUAGGCGGAAUUCGUGGUGUAGCGGUGAAAUGAUUAGAUAUCACGAAGAACUCCGAUUGCGAAGGCAGUUCACUGGACUGCAACUGACACUGAGGCUCGAAAGUGUGGGUAUCAAACAGGAUUAGAUACCCGAGUAGUC
rnacentral:rRNA from 1 species